rnacentral:lncRNA from 1 species
UCUUACCCAGUUUUACGAAAAUAGAAGAAGUAAAGGUUUUUUGAGACAUCUUUCGCUAACGAGAAGCGCAUCUAACAUUAUCUCCUGUGAAUCUCCAGUAGGAUGUUAAUUUCAAAUACACAUAUGUCCCUACACUAAAGUAUUAAAAGAAUGUGUUAUAUCCCAAUUGUAAGAAUUAGUUUCCUCAACAAUCAAAUGUAUGCAAUCCUAAAUAACUACACGUACACGUUAUUUCAUUUACUGUCCCAGAGACACCAUUAAUCACUUCUUAGGGUGAAAUGUCAUUCCAGG